rnacentral:rRNA from 1 species
GGAUCAGACUUUGAUUAUGGCUCAGGACGAACGCUGGCGGCGCGCCUAACACAUGCAAGUCGAGCGGGAAGCUUUUUAAGGAUUCUUCGGAUGAAUUAAAAAGUGGAGAGCGGCGGACGGGUGAGUAACGCGUGAGAAACCUGCCCUAUACAGGGGGAUAGCCAUUGGAAACGAUGAUUAAUACCCCAUAUGACCACAGUAUCGCAUGAUACAGCGGUGAAAACUCCGGUGGUAUAGGAUGGUCUCGCGUCUGAUUAGCUAGUUGGUGGGGUAACGGCCUACCAAGGCGACGAUCAGUAGCCGGCCUGAGAGGGUGACCGGCCACACUGGAACUGAGACACGGUCCAGACUCCUACGGGAGGCAGCAGUGGGGAAUAUUGCACAAUGGGCGAAAGCCUGAUGCAGCGACGCCGCGUGAACGAUGAAGGCUUUCGAGUCGUAAAGUUCUGUUCUUGGGGAAGAUAACGACGGUACCCAAGGAGAAAGCACCGGCUAAAUACGUGCCAGCAGCCGCGG